CAGUAACGGCGAGUGAAGCGGCAACAGCUCAAAUUUGAAAUCUGGCUCUCGGGCCCGAGUUGUAAUUUGUAGAGGAUGCUUUUGGUGAGGUGCCUUCCGAGUUCCCUGGAACGGGACGCCAUAGAGGGUGAGAGCCCCGUCUGGUUGGACGCCGAACCUCUGUAAAGCUCCUUCGACGAGUCGAGUAGUUUGGGAAUGCUGCUCUAAAUGGGAGGUAUAUGUCUUCUAAAGCUAAAUACCGGCCAGAGACCGAUAGCGCACAAGUAGAGUGAUCGAAAGAUGAAAAGAACUUUGAAAAGAGAGUUAAACAGUACGUGAAAUUGUUGAAAGGGAAGCGCUUGUGACCAGACUUGGGCUUGGUUGAUCAUCCGGGGUUCUCCCCGGUGCACUCUUCCGGCUCAGGCCAGCAUCAGUUCGCCCUGGGGGAUAAAGGCAUCGGGAACGUGGCUCUCUCCGGGGAGUGUUAUAGCCCGUUGCGUAAUACCCUGUGGCGGACUGAGGUUCGCGCAUUCGCAAGGAUGCUGGCGUAAUGGUCAUCAGUGACCCGUCUUGAAACACGGACCAAGGAGUCGUCUUCGUAUGCGAGUGUUCGGGUGUCAAACCCCUACGCGAAAUGAAAGUGAACGCAGGUGAGAGCUUCGGCGCAUCAUCGACCGAUCCUGAUGUAUUCGGAUGGAUUUGAGUAAGAGCAUACGGGGCCGGACCCGAAAGAAGGUGAACUAUGCCUGUGUAGGGUGAAGCCAGAGGAAACUCUGGUGGAGGCUCGCAGCGGUUCUGACGUGCAAAUCGAUCGUCAAACAUGGGCAUG
rnacentral:rRNA from 1 species